AAUAGCCCAGUCCCAUUGUCCACCCAAACUUCAAUCUAUAGACCGGUAUACUGUUCACUUUUUCUACAAUAGUCCCAAUGCCUGCUGAGACCGGUUCAUGGGUGUCUAUUGUUGCACCUGUGAACGGCUCUCCAAGGGGCCUCUACGUGUUGGAUCUAUAUCCCCACGCAAGCCUAUCAAAAGACCGGGAUUUAUAGGCCCGUGAAAUCCAAAA